rnacentral:rRNA from 1 species
UACGUAGGUGGCAAGCGUUGUUCGGAAUUACUGGGCGUAAAGGGUUCGUAGGUGGCCAACUAAGUCAGACGUGAAAUCCCUCAGCUUAACUGGGGAACUGCGUCUGAUACUGGUUGGCUUGAGUGCAGGAGAGGAACGCGGAAUUCCAGGUGUAGCGGUGAAAAUGCGUAGAUAUCUGGAGGAACACCGGUGGCGAAGGCGGCGUUCUGGACUGCAACUGACACUGAGGAACGAAAGCCAGGGGAGCAAACGGG